GCCAUGCCUCCCACGACCCCACCAUGGACCUCACCUUCACCUGGACCCUGGACGACUUCCCCAUCGACUUUGAUAAGCCUGGAGGGCACUACCGGAGAACUAAUGUGAAGGAGACCAUUGGGGAUCUGACCAUCCUGAAUGCCCAGCUGCGCCAUGGGGGGAAGUACACAUGCAUGGCCCAGACGGUGGUGGACAGCGCGUCCAAGGAGGCCACAGUCCUGGUCCGAGGUCCGCCAGGUCCCCCAGGAGGUGUGGUGGUGAGGGACAUUGGCGACACCACCAUCCAGCUCAGCUGGAGCCGUGGCUUCGACAACCACAGCCCCAUCGCUAAGUACACCCUGCAAGCUCGCACUCCACCUGCAGGGAAGUGGAAGCAGGUUCGGACCAAUCCUGCAAACAUCGAGGGCAAUGCCGAGACUGCACAGGUGCUGGGCCUCACCCCCUGGAUGGACUAUGAGUUCCGGGUCAUAGCCAGCAACAUUCUGGGCACUGGGGAGCCUAGUGGGCCCUCCAGCAAAAUCCGGACCAGGGAAGCAGUAUCCCAGGAGCUGAGGAGCACAAAGACAGCUGUGAUGCAAAGGAAACAUAAUGGGCUUUAAAAUGAGAAGGGCUGAGUUCAGAUUCUACCUGUGCCAUGUAUUAACUGUGUGACCUUAGGCAAGUUGAUUAACUGCUCUGGGCCUCAGUCUUUCCACCCUGAAAAGGGCAAUAAUAACACCCACCUCACAGGAUCAAAUGGCCAAUGUGUUUAAGUACCUCUUGCAAAUUACACGGUCCUAAACUAUUGUCAUCAGAAGCAAAUGAAAAAUCUCCAGCUGCUGGAUUCUCUGCGGAAAUAUUUUGACCCCCAGCCAAGUUACUUUCUGCCAAGCUGCA
rnacentral:sRNA from 1 species